UCGCUGUUAAAAAUUUAAGACUCCGUCCCCGUUGGGCUUAAAAAAAAGUAAAGCAUCGCAUUAUACUGAUGUACAAGAUCUCGUUCUUGCACAUUUCGCUCUUCCCACAUAUUUUGCAAUCAGAACUGUUUUCGAAGCUCGUGGUGAAAGCAAACAGACGGGUUCUCAGGAGACACCAGGCCAAGGAAUGCGCUCAGCUUGUCCCAAUCUCGCCCCUCGAAGCGUGGGACGGGAAAGGCCGAGCCACAGGAAAUAACUGCGGGCUGCCAAAGGUCGGGCCCAGCAAGCCCGCCUGGCCCCCUGCCCCGCCCUCCCGAACGCCGCCGGAAUCCGGAUACCCGGCCGAACGAGGUCGGCCCCUUCCGGCUCUUUCCGGUGCUGCAGGAUCGCGCCGCAGCCCAGGAUGCUGCGGUUUGCGGGGCUCCUCGCCUCCGCAGGCCUGGCCGCCACGGCUCUCAUCGUAGCCACCCGGCUUCGCUCCGGCCUCCGCCUCCGGCCGGCUCCCAGGCCCAGGCCUCCGCACCCGGCCGCCGCGACCCUGGAGCGCCCCGGAGCGGGAGAAAUAAAUUCCAAUGAGUGUGAACAUGUGUUAAGAAAAGAGGAAGUGCCAGAGAAGUUACAAGUCAGUGCUGUGGAUUCUCUGACAGACAUGCCAUUUGCUACUGUAGAUAUUCAAGAUGAUUGUGGAGUCACUGAUGUACCUCAAAUAAAUUUGAAGAGAAGUAAAGAAAAUGAAGGUAACAAGAGGGAUCAAGUAAAGAAGAGGAAAAAAAGGCAAAAUGAUUAUCAACCCAACUAUUUCCUAUCCAUUCCCAUCACCAACAAAAAGAUUACAGGUAGAAUUAAGAUCCUGCAGAAUGCAAUACUACAGCAAGAUCAGCGGCUGUCCCAAGCAAUGGUCCGUGAUGGUUCCUUUCAUAUUACCCUGCUAGUGAUGCAAUUAUUAAAUGAAGAUGAAGUAAAUAUUGGGAUUGAUUCGCUUUUGGAAUUGAAGCCAUUCAUUGAGGAAAUCCUCAAAGGGAAACAGUUGACUUUGCCCUUCCAAGGGAUUGGCACGUUUGGAAGUCAGGUUGGCUUUGUGAAGCUGGCAGAAGGAGACCACAUCGACCCGCUUUUGGAGAUAGCAGAGAUGGCAAAAAAAACAUUUCAAGAAAAAGGCAUCUUGGCAGGAGACAGCAGAGGAUUUAAGCCUCACUUGACCUUUAUGAAAUUGUCAAAAGCGCCAGCGCUCCGGAAGAUUGGAGUGAAAAAAAUAGAGCCUGAAUUGUAUGAACAGUUUAUCAACCACAGAUUUGGAGAAGAAAUAUUAUACCGCAUAGAUCUUUGCUCCAUGCUGAAGAAAAAACGAAGUGAUGGUUAUUAUCACUGUGAGUCUUCACUUGUGAUUGGUGAGUUGGAAAGCCGGUCCUCUGCAGUCCUACAGAGAUACAGCAAGGAUAGACCCAACAGCCCAAGUGGUGAGAAGGACGGAGGGGAGCCCGAGGAUGCCGAACUGGCAAGGAACCAAUUGGAAUCCAAGAUUCAAUUAAUGAAGCUUUGCACCAAGAAAGGAUGGGGCUGAAGUCCAAAGUGAAACAGAUAAAAGAACUUUUAUUGAAGCCUGAGACUCAGGCCAAAAUUAGGACAGAGCUUUUUGAAGGAAGGCUUUUUAAUAAUGAAGUCCUGAGCAGGAGCUCUGGUGGUUUCAGUGAUUUCUUCAGCUGAUGUUCCUGCCUUUGUGAUAAGAAAGCACAGUCAUCAAAGCAUGUCCACUUUAGAUUGUUUCAUUAUUUCAAAUCAUUCAGCUUCUUGGAGGAGUAACAACAUAACAUUGCCUUCAAAGAAACCCAAGGUGACUUAGAAACAACUAAUUCUGAGUCACUGAAGUGACAUCAGUAGCAAAGAUGAAGAGACCAAGCUCAUCCAGGUACAUAGACCUACGAGUUCCUGGCUGUGAGGCCCCUCCGAAUAUCUGGCUACGAACCCCCUCUGAGCAGCUGUGAACUCUCUGUGAGGGACCGGCCAAGAUCCCCCAGCUGAGGUACUGGCUGUGAACCCUGCUCAGGUGUAGAGGUUGGUACAGAUUUGCUUGAGUAACUCUCAAGGAAAGAAGCAAAGAUGCUUAGGCCUUUCCUUGUUUUCAAAUGAGAGACUGGCACCAGAGGUUGGGUUCCUUAUCCAAGGCCACACUGUUCUUAGGAAUUGGAAGCUGAGUCCAACCCAGUGGCCUCAGGGUUCCAGGGCCACUUUCACCAUCCCGUAAUGUAGGUGCACUGUUUCAGAUCAGCAUUUCUUAGCGUUAAGCUAUAUCUUCCCCUCAAGGAUCUAUUCCAAAUCUAUCAAAGUAGCUUGGAGGACAAGUAUUCUUUUUGCAACCCAGAUUACAUGUCUUUCUGUUACUUUAGUUGAAAACCAGCUUCUACUGUUAAAUACCUAUGAAGAGCUAGGCUCAGUGCCAGGUGAUUUGGGCACAUGGUUAAAUUUCUUCCCUAGGGAGGGAGUGGGCAUAGAUUUGAUCAAAAUACCUUAUAUGCAUGUAUGAAAUUCUCAAUAAAGUUUUUGUAAAAGUUAAAAAUAAAUAAAUUUAUU